rnacentral:rRNA from 2 species
GGAAAGGCCCUUCGGGGUACUCGAGUGGCGAACGGGUGAGUAACACGUGGGUGAUCUGCCCUGCACUUUGGGAUAAGCCUGGGAAACUGGGUCUAAUACCGAAUAUGACCAUGCACUUCCUGGUGUGUGGUGGAAAGCUUUUGCGGUGUGGGAUGGGCCCGCGGCCUAUCAGCUUGUUGGUGGGGUAAUGGCCUACCAAGGCGACGACGGGUAGCCGGCCUGAGAGGGUGACCGGCCACACUGGGACUGAGAUACGGCCCAGACUCCUACGGGAGGCAGCAGUGGGGAAUAUUGCACAAUGGGCGCAAGCCUGAUGCAGCGACGCCGCGUGAGGGAUGACGGCCUUCGGGUUGUAAACCUCUUUCAGCACAGACGAAGCGCAAGUGACGGUAUGUGCAGAAGAAGGACCGGCCAACUACGUGCCAGCAGCCGCGGUAAUACGUAGGGUCCGAGCGUUGUCCGGAAUUACUGGGCGUAAAGAGCUCGUAGGUGGUUUGUCGCGUUGUUCGUGAAAACUCACAGCUUAACUGUGGGCGUGCGGGCGAUACGGGCAGACUUGAGUACUGCAGGGGAGACUGGAAUUCCUGGUGUAGCGGUGGAAUGCGCAGAUAUCAGGAGGAACACCGGUGGCGAAGGCGGGUCUCUGGGCAGUAACUGACGCUGAGGAGCGAAAGCGUGGGGAGCGAACAGGAUUAGAUACCCUGGUAGUCCACGCCGUAAACGGUGGGUACUAGGUGUGGGUUUCCUUCCUUGGGGAUCCGUGCCGUAGCUAACGCAUUAAGUACCCCGCCUGGGGAGUACGGCCGCAAGGCUAAAACUCAAAGAAAUUGACGGGGGCCCGCACAAGCGGCGGAGCAUGUGGAUUAAUUCGAUGCAACGCGAAGAACCUUACCUGGGUUUGACAUGCACAGGACGCCAGUAGAGAUAUUGGUUCCCUUGUGGCCUGUGUGCAGGUGGUGCAUGGCUGUCGUCAGCUCGUGUCGUGAGAUGUUGGGUUAAGUCCCGCAACGAGCGCAACCCUUGUCCUAUGUUGCCAGCGGGUUAUGCCGGGGACUCGUAGGAGACUGCCGGGGUCAACUCGGAGGAAGGUGGGGAUGACGUCAAGUCAUCAUGCCCCUUAUGUCCAGGGCUUCACACAUGCUACAAUGGCCGGUACAAAGGGCUGCGAUGCCGUGAGGUGGAGCGAAUCCUUUCAAAGCCGGUCUCAGUUCGGAUCGGGGUCUGCAACUCGACCCCGUGAAGUCGGAGUCGCUAGUAAUCGCAGAUCAGCAACGCUGCGGUGAAUACGUUCCCGGGCCUUGUACACACCGCCCGUCACGUCAUGAAAGUCGGUAACACCCGAAGCCGGUGGCCUAACCC